rnacentral:rRNA from 1 species
AUUGUGAGCUCGAUGAGUAGGGCGGGACACGUGGUAUCCUGUCUGAAUAUGGGGGGACCAUCCUCCAAGGCUAAAUACUCCUGACUGACCGAUAGUGAACCAGUACCGUGAGGGAAAGGCGAAAAGAACCCCGGCGAGGGGAGUGAAAAAGAACCUGAAACCGUGUACGUACAAGCAGUGGGAGCCUCUUAAUGGGGUGACUGCGUACCUUUUGUAUAAUGGGUCAGCGACUUAUAUUCUGUAGCAAGGUUAACCGAAUAGGGGAGCCGAAGGGAAACCGAGUCUUAACUGGGCGUUAAGUUGCAGGGUAUAGACCCGAAACCCGGUGAUCUAGCCAUGGGCAGGUUGAAGGUUGGGUAACACUAACUGGAGGACCGAACCGACUAAUGUUGAAAAAUUAGCGGAUGACUUGUGGCUGGGGGUGAAAGGCCAAUCAAACCGGGAGAUAGCUGGUUCUCCCCGAAAGCUAUUUAGGUAGCGCCUCGUGAAUUCAUCUCCGGGGGUAGAGCACUGUUUCGGCAAGGGGGUCAUCCCGACUUACCAACCCGAUGCAAACUGCGAAUACCGGAGAAUGUUAUCACGGGAGACACACGGCGGGUGCUAACGUCCGUCGUGAAGAGGGAAACAACCCAGACCGCCAGCUAAGGUCCCAAAGUCAUGGUUAAGUGGGAAACGAUGUGGGAAGGCCCAGACAGCCAGGAUGUUGGCUUAGAAGCAGCCAUCAUUUAAAGAAAGCGUAAUAGCUCACUGGUCGAGUCGGCCUGCGCGGAAGAUGUAACGGGGCUAAACCAUGCACCGAAGCUGCGGCAGCGACACUAUGUGUUGUUGGGUAGGGGAGCGUUCUGUAAGCCUGUGAAGGUGGCCUGUGAGGGUUGCUGGAGGUAUCAGAAGUGCGAAUGCUGACAUAAGUAACGAUAAAGCGGGUGAAAAGCCCGCUCGCCGGAAGACCAAGGGUUCCUGUCCAACGUUAAUCGGGGCAGGGUGAGUCGACCCCUAAGGCGAGGCCGAAAGGCGUAGUCGAUGGGAAACAGGUUAAUAUUCCUGUACUUGGUGUUACUGCGAAGGGGGGACGGAGAAGGCUAUGUUGGCCGGGCGACGGUUGUCCCGGUUUAAGCGUGUAGGCUGGUUUUCCAGGCAAAUCCGGAAAACCAAGGCUGAGGCGUGAUGACGAGGCACUACGGUGCUGAAGCGACAAAUGCCCUGCUUCCAGGAAAAGCCUCUAAGCAUCAGGUAACAUCAAAUCGUACCCCAAACCGACACAGGUGGUCAGGUAGAGAAUACCAAGGCGCUUGAGAGAACUCGGGUGAAGGAACUAGGCAAAAUGGUGCCGUAACUUCGGGAGAAGGCACGCUGAUAUGUAGGUGAAGCGACUUGCUCGUGGAGCUGAAAUCAGUCGAAGAUACCAGCUGGCUGCAACUGUUUAUUAAAAACACAGCACUGUGCAAACACGAAAGUGGACGUAUACGGUGUGACGCCUGCCCGGUGCCGGAAGGUUAAUUGAUGGGGUUAGCGGUAACGCGAAGCUCUUGAUCGAAGCCCCGGUAAACGGCGGCCGUAACUAUAACGGUCCUAAGGUAGCGAAAUUCCUUGUCGGGUAAGUUCCGACCUGCACGAAUGGCGUAAUGAUGGCCAGGCUGUCUCCACCCGAGACUCAGUGAAAUUGAACUCGCUGUGAAGAUGCAGUGUACCCGCGGCAAGACGGAAAGACCCCGUGAACCUUUACUAUAGCUUGACACUGAACAUUGAGCCUUGAUGUGUAGGAUAGGUGGGAGGCUUUGAAGUGUGGACGCCAGUCUGCAUGGAGCCGGCCUUGAAAUACCACCCUUUAAUGUUUGAUGUUCUAACGUUGGCCCGUAAUCCGGGUUGCGGACAGUGUCUGGUGGGUAGUUUGACUGGGGCGGUCUCCUCCUAAAGAGUAACGGAGGAGCACGAAGGUUGGCUAAUCCUGGUCGGACAUCAGGAGGUUAGUGCAAUGGCAUAAGCCAGCUUGACUGCGAGCGUGACGGCGCGAGCAGGUGCGAAAGCAGGUCAUAGUGAUCCGGUGGUUCUGAAUGGAAGGGCCAUCGCUCAACGGAUAAAAGGUACUCCGGGGAUAACAGGCUGAUACCGCCCAAGAGUUCAUAUCGACGGCGGUGUUUGGCACCUCGAUGUCGGCUCAUCACAUCCUGGGGCUGAAGUAGGUCCCAAGGGUAUGGCUGUUCGCCAUUUAAAGUGGUACGCGAGCUGGGUUUAGAACGUCGUGAGACAGUUCGGUCCCUAUCUGCCGUGGGCGCUGGAGAACUGAGGGGGGCUGCUCCUAGUACGAGAGGACCGGAGUGGACGCAUCACUGGUGUUCGGGUUGUCAUGCCAAUGGCACUGCCCGGUAGCUAAAUGCGGAAGAGAUAAGUGCUGAAAGCAUCUAAGCACGAAACUUGCCCCGAGAUGAGUUCUCCCUGACUCCUUGAGGGUCCUGAAGGAACGUUGAAGACGACGACGUUGAUAGGCCGGGUGUGUAAGCGCAGCGAUGCGUUGAGCUAACCGGUACUAAUGAACCGUGAGGCUUAACCUUACAACGCCGAAG